rnacentral:rRNA from 1 species
GUGCCAGCAGCCGCGGUAAUACAGGGGGUGCUAACGUUGUUCGGAAUUACUGGGCGUAAAGCGCGCGUAGGCGGCUAUACAAGUCAGGUGUGAAAUCUCGGGGCUUAACUCCGAAAGUGCACUUGAAACUGUAUGGCUAGAGUACAGUAGAGGUUGGUGGAAUUCCCAGUGUAGAGGUGAAAUUCGUAGAUAUUGGGAGGAACACCGGUGGCGAAGGCGGCCAACUGGGCUGUAACUGACGCUGAGGCGCGAAAGCGUGGGGAGCAAACAGGAUUAGAAACCCCUGUAGUCC